CUCGUUCCAGCUGUUACCUGGCACAUCCUCCGUGCCCUCCAUCAGCAUAUCCUUCGUGAAGUUUGAAAUCUGGCCAGUGAGGGAAGCCAAGCUGCCCCCUACUUGACCCAGAGACUGGCCCAAGCCGGAGCCGAGGCCCCCGAGCCAGGACGACAUCGCUGCGGGUGGACACGUCCGCUCCAAAUGUCCCUGGACGCCGAAGCUGGUGCAGAUCCAGACGCUGAGGACUCGCAGGACACGACACUCCCACCAACCGCCGCGUCAGAAAGCCGAGGCCCGGCCUGGCGCUUCACCAAGGGUUCGCCGCUGCGGACACCGUGGCCCCCGCGGGGCCUCUGCUCAUUCCCACGGCUUCCCGCCGUGCGGCUGCACCACUUCUUGCUCAGCUUUACUGACUUUCCUCAGUUUCGUGGGCCAGCCCUGCCAACUCAACGCCGGCCGCCAUGACACCGCCGGGAAAGCGGCAGGGAUCAUAGAGAAGCUCCGCGACGGCGUAGAAGGGCCGCUGACAGAUGCGUCCCGGACGCGAAGGACGGUGGGAUCGCGGAGGACCAAAUAUGGGCCAGCCAGACCCGUGACUUCCGUGUAACCUGCAGAACUUUAGGUGGAGACCAGAGGCAGUGGCAGCAACGGUGGCACUUUCCACCUGCGGAGCUGCUCUUUUUUUGUAAGAGGAAGCAACCCUUGACAGCCGCCUUCUAAUCCUGUCUUCGGGAGCUAUUGCAUCGCUAGAAUUCGAUAGGGUCGUCCCACACCACAGGGAAGCGACCUCAAUCCAUCCACAUUACUCUAUUAUCCAGCCUCUGCGGAUAAUAGAUUAUCCAUGCCAGAGGGUUGGAAACGAGGUUACAAAGCUGAAAGAGCGGGUUGCAAUUCAAGUAUCCAGGCAGAAAACACUUGUUUUGGUGUAUGUUUUCAGUUACCAUGUACUUAAAGGAACAUUGGGAAUACCCACUAGAAUGUGGAAUCCGAUGACAACCCCCCCCCCCCCAAAUUAUCUCUCCCUGAAACUUGAAUAAUUUUCAACAGGUGUCAAUUUGGGUUUAGGGGUUGUCUCCGAGGAGUUUUCAGCUUCUGUGUCCCAGAGCAAGGAAUUGGACAGAGACACGUGGAUAGUAGUAAGGAAGUCAAGAAAAUGGAGUAAAUGACACACACUCAAGGGAAGAAGCAGGGCAGAACACUGUCAGUGAUGGUGGGGUUGAUGAGCUACAUUUUCAGCUUGACUUGGAGAAUUUUUGGUGCUGAAGAUCAAAUCCAGAGACUUGCCCGUGCUUGGCACAUAGGCUUAGCCACACCCUCAGCACUUGUUUGAGACGGAAUCUCCUAUAACCCAGGUAUAAAUCCUCUGGAGCUUCACAUCUGCUGGAACAUGGUCCAAGAAUAAUCCUGUGAGAAUUCUGAGUGCUCGUGAGAAAACUCUAAGACAAGACAAGAAUCUUGUGACCUUAUAGAGGAAUUUGAAUCCAGCAACAUGGCUGCUCUGGCAAGGGAUCACAUCCAAAGACCUUCUAAGUCUACAGGAACCAGCCAGAAUACAGACAAACCCUGGAUUACAGUAUGGCCUGGCUGGAAUACAGACAAACCCUUAGUACACACCUCUUAAUCCCUAACAAUGGAGGUAAGGUUAGUUUGUAGAAGGAAGCAGCCUUCUUUGAAAGUGAUGUCUAAUUAAGGGACAGACAAUGUGACAAAUCAGAGAAAGAUUUGACAGAAUGAGUCAGAGAUUGAAUACACCCAACUCACAUGAGAACAGAACAGGAAAGAGAGGCUAUGAGACAGAGACAGAGAGACAGAGACAGAGAGACAGAGAAACACAGACACAGAGAGACUAAGACAGGGAGACAGAAACAGAAAUAUGUGUGUGGUGAUUUUACCAAGACAGUUUUACAGAAACAAGUUAGACACAGACAAUGACAGAAGGAGCCAGAGAAUGAGGAGGAGCCAGAAGAUUAGAACAUGUUGCCAAAGUUAAGUAUGAGGCCAAGCAGAGCAAUUCAGUCAGAAGCCAAGAGAAGAUUAAAUCAGUCAGCUUGGAAGAUUAGAUUGUACACAGGCUAGAAGCUUCCAGGCCUGCGCCUAAGGAUAGUUAGACAAACACUCUAGGCUCAGCCCAAGCCCUGUACUCGCAUAGCUUGGCUAUGGCUCUCAUCUCAUCCUUUCAUCUGAGGAAAUGAGUGACAUUUACACAAUUUCAGUUUCCUCAAAACCACUCAAUUGGAGUGUGCUUGUGUGUCCCUCCCAGGUGUAGUGCAUAGUGUGAAUUUACUUCAGGUUAUUCAUUGCAACUAGCUGUUGGUAUUUGUUUAUAAGCCUCUAUGGGAAAAACAUGUUUUCUUGCAUGGGGCUUGCCCAUCAUAUUCGGCUUGCCUCUGUGAUCAUACACUUUGCUCAUGUAUCUCCUCUUAAUCGUCAUAGUAUGAUGUCUGAAGAUCUGAAUAAAGUUGUCUAUUACAUGA